UCGGACGGGUGAGUAACGCGUGAGAAUCUGGCUCUAGGUCUGGGACAACCACUGGAAACGGUGGCUAAUACCGGAUGUGCCGAGAGGUGAAAGGUUAACUGCCUAGAGAUGAGCUCGCGUCUGAUUAGCUAGUUGGAAGUGUAAUGGACUCCCAAGGCGACGAUCAGUAGCUGGUCUGAGAGGACGAUCAGCCACACUGGGACUGAGACACGGCCCAGACUCCUACGGGAGGCAGCAGUGGGGAAUUUUCCGCAAUGGGCGAAAGCCUGACGGAGCAAUACCGCGUGAGGGAGGAAGGCUCUUGGGUCGUAAACCUCUUUUCUCAGGGAAGAACACAAUGACGGUACCUGAGGAAUAAGCAUCGGCUAACUCCGUGCCAGCAGCCGCGGUAAUACGGAGGAUGCAAGCGUUAUCCGGAAUGAUUGGGCGUAAAGCGUCCGCAGGUGGCAAUGUAAGUCUGCUGUUAAAGAGUCUAGCUCAACUAGAUAAAAGCAGUGGAAACUACAUAGCUAGAGUACGUUCGGGGCAGAGGGAAUUCCUGGUGUAGCGGUGAAAUGCGUAGAGAUCAGGAAGAACACCGGUGGCGAAGGCGCUCUGCUAGGCCGUAACUGACACUG
rnacentral:rRNA from 1 species